rnacentral:rRNA from 1 species
CGCUGGCGGCAGGCCUAACACAUGCAAGUCGAACGGCAGCACAGAGGAGCUUGCUCCUUGGGUGGCGAGUGGCGGACGGGUGAGGAAUGCAUCGGAAUCUGCCUAUUUGUGGGGGAUAACGUAGGGAAACUUACGCUAAUACCGCAUACGUCCUACGGGAGAAAGUGGGGGACCUUCGGGCCUCACGCAGAUAGAUGAGCCGAUGCCGGAUUAGCUAGUUGGCGGGGUAAAGGCCCACCAAGGCGACGAUCCGUAGCUGGUCUGAGAGGAUGAUCAGCCACACUGGAACUGAGACACGGUCCAGACUCCUACGGGAGGCAGCAGUGGGGAAUAUUGGACAAUGGGCGCAAGCCUGAUCCAGCCAUGCCGCGUGUGUGAAGAAGGCCUUCGGGUUGUAAAGCACUUUUGUCCGGAAAGAAAAGCGCUCGAUUAAUACUCGGGUGUUAUGACGGUACCGGAAGAAUAAGCACCGGCUAACUUCGUGCCAGCAGCCGCGGUAAUACGAAGGGUGCAAGCGUUACUCGGAAUUACUGGGCGUAAAGCGUGCGUAGGUGGUUUGUUAAGUCUGAUGUGAAAGCCCUGGGCUCAACCUGGGAACUGCAUUGGAAACUGGCUUACUAGAGUGCGGUAGAGGGGUGUGGAAUUCCCGGUGUAGCAGUGAAAUGCGUAGAUAUCGGGAGGAACAUCUGUGGCGAAGGCGACACCCUGGACCAGCACUGACACUGAGGCACGAAAGCGUGGGGAGCAAACAGGAUUAGAUACCCUGGUAGUCCACGCCCUAAACGAUGCGAACUGGAUGUUGGGGGCAACUUGGCCCUCAGUAUCGAAGCUAACGCGUUAAGUUCGCCGCCUGGGAAGUACGGUCGCAAGACUGAAACUCAAAGGAAUUGACGGGGGCCCGCACAAGCGGUGGAGUAUGUGGUUUAAUUCGAUGCAACGCGAAGAACCUUACCUGGCCUUGACAUG